AGUCUCUGGAGUGUAUGCAAUAGUGAUGGUCAUCUUGGCCAGCCAUCAGCUGGGGCUUGCAUUUCCACAUCCAUUACUCUGAUAGGAGACCUCUCAACGCCAAGAGACAUGUUGUUCCUGGCUUUCUCUGUUUCAAGUGAAAUGUUUAGUGCUGACUUUCAGUUUUAAGCUUCACCUCUUCAGAGUUGACAUAGAUUUUUAGUUGCUGUCCUGGCUGGCUGGUGCACACUUGUUUUCUGUUGGCCACCCAUCUUUUAUGCUCCCUGAGGCUGAAAGGAGCAAGGAAAGAAGAUGAACCCUGAACCUGUUUUCCCUAUCACUAAGAUAGUCCCAUCUCUACGUGGAUGGAAAGGACAGCACUUUUCACAUGAUUCAUGCCACCAUCCUUCCAUGCAGUGUCUACACAGCAGCCAGAGGAAUCAUAAACUCAGAAUGGCAUUGGGAUGAUUAUCUUCCUAAAUGAGGCAGCUAAUUAAAAUCCACGCUUCUACGAAAUGAUGUCUUAGAUUUAUUGAAGAGGUAAAGGAGCUUCAUGGUCUUCAUGGUGAUGUAUUCCUUCUCUCAUCUUAAGACGUGAGAAAACAAUGAAUGAAGAGGAGUGCUACUCUGAACCCCACCUGACACCAAUUCACUCUUCCCUACAGUAUGUUUGUGACUUUAUGUGAGGAAUUAAUAAGUGGGCAGAAAUAAUAGCAAGCUAAUAUCACAUAUCUAUUAUGUUUCUCAAACAGGUUUGAAAUAAAUUUUGG
ensembl:lncRNA